CAGUUCGGAUUGCAGUCUGCAACUCGACUGCAUGAAGCCGGAAUCGCUAGUAAUCGCGGAUCAGAAUGCCGCGGUGAAUACGUUCCCGGGUCUUGUACACACCGCCCGUCACACCAUGGGAGUCGGAAAUGCCCGAAGCCGGUGGCCUAACCGAUAAGGGAGGAGCCGUCGAAGGCAGGUCUGAUGACUGGGGUGAAGUCGUAACAAGGUACC
rnacentral:rRNA from 1 species